rnacentral:rRNA from 1 species
CCCUUAGACGUUCUGGGCCGCACGCGCGCUACACUGACCAGUGCAACAAGCAUCCGUCCUUGGCCGACAGGCCCGGGCAAUCUUUGAACGCUGGUCGUGAUGGGGAUAGACUUUUGCAAUUUUUGGUCUUCAACGAGGAAUUCCUAGUAAACGCAAGUCAUCAACUUGCAUUGAUUACGUCCCUGCCCUUUGUACACACCGCCCGUCGCACCUACCGAUUGGAUGGUCCGGUGAAGCCUCCGGAUUGGCGCGCACCCCGGUGCCGCCGAGAAGUUGGCUAAACCUUACCAUUUAGAGGAAGGUGAAGUCGUAACA